rnacentral:lncRNA from 1 species
AGAUGCAGGAAGCUAUAUUUACUUUGUUUCUAAGGGAAAGAUGAAAACUCUCCCAGGAGAGCACCUGCUUUUGAGCAUUGCAAGUAGCUGCCUCUCUAAUUUACCCCUCAUAAAUUUAUUCACACUUAAGGAUUUCUUGUGUCUUUCCUUUCACUGACUGAAUUCACACAGAAUUCCCAAGGGCCUGAGACACUAAAAACCAUAAUUCAAUACUCGGGAAAGUGCAGUUAGUCCAUCCAGCUGUGCUGCACGAAUAAAAGGUAUUCACCAAGCCAAAAAUGGUUGUUGAAGACAGCCUUGGGGUUUGAUUUCUUCCAAAGCCCUUUCUCAUGCCAAAGUGGCUACUGUUGUGCUGUUUUGUUAAUUUCAGCUGUGUGGUUCAGUAAAGUAUGAUUAGCAAGUCUCACGUUUCUGUGAAAUAUAAGCCCAACAUAUGUAGCAUUUUGGCAACUGCUGUGCUUCAUGGAAGGGAGUGACCAAUUACCACACAAUGGGUUAACAAUUCAUGUCAGGUUUUGCCUGUAGUUCCAGGGUUCAACACAUCACAACCCAUUGCAAUGAGUUUAAGAAGUUUCCGUCUCUCCCAUCUUCAUCUGUCAGUGACCUCUCACUCGAAUUCUGGCUCCACAGUCAUGGCAGUGAAUGGGAUCAGGGAACUCACAUAGGUUUUAAACAAGACGCUCUUGCCAAGAGACUUCCUCUGCCCGUUCUCUCUGAUGGUCCAUGUUCCCCCAGUUUCCUAUUUUACUGCUGCUCCAGUUUCCAAUGCUUGAACAUCUUCAGGUCAGAGAAGGGUACAGUGUGCUGCUCCACUGCUCCAGCACAGUGAAAGAAGCAAGCUUGUUACCAGCAUAACAAAAGAGAAAAGAUACCUAAACUGAGAGCAAAGAGAACAAUACGCUCUGAGCUGGACACGCGUUGCAAAUGGUGUACAAGAAACGGAGGUUUGCCCACAUUUUGCUUAGUAAUAAACAAUUAAAUACAAUAGCA